GAGUUUGAUCGUGGCUCAGAACGAACGCUGGCGGCAGGCCUCAAACAUGCAAGUCUAGGGGGUGUAGCAAUACAUCACCGGCGGACGGGUGCGUAACGCGUGGGAAUGUACCUAUUGGUUCGGAACAACACAGGGAAACUUGUGCUAAUACCGGAUGAGCCCGAAAGGGGAGAGAUUUCUCGCCAAUAGAUCAGCCCGCGUCCGAUUAGCUAGUUGGUGGGGUUAAAGCCUACCAAGGCGACGAUCGGUAGCUGUUCUGAGAGGAAGAUCAGCCACACUGGGACUGAGACACGGCCCAGACUCCUACGGGAGGCGGCAGUUGGGAAUCUUGGACAAUGGGGGAAACCCUGAUCCAGCCAUGCCGCGUGAGUGAUGAAGGCCUU
rnacentral:rRNA from 1 species